CAGGGAAGCCCUCGAAUGCUGGGGAAGAAUGAUGAAAUCAUACCUCCAGCUGUGGCCAUCUUUUCCCCAUCAAAGCAGGAGAUCCAGCAGAAGAGCAAGGCCACGCUGGUGUGCCUGGCCUCUGGUUUCUACCCUGACCACCUGACUCUGGUCUGGAAGGUGAAUGGUGUGAAAAGGACCGAAGGGGUGGGGACAGACGAGUCCUCCACACAGAAUGGGAGCACCUACUCACUGACCAGCCGACUGAGGAUGCCAGCCUGGGAAUGGUUCAACCCUUUGAAUCGCUUCGAGUGUGUUGCCAAUUUUUUUCAGAAUGGAACAACGCAAUCCAUAAACAAAUUUAUCCAGGGUGAUGCUGGUUGUGCGCUCACUGAAGAGUCGUACUUGCGGUAUGGGAAUUCUCUGAAGCUCACGUACCUCCUCCUGUGUGGCAAAGCCUUGGUCUACGCAGUUUUGGUGAGUGGCCUGGUGUGGACAGCCAAGACUGGUGUCAAGUUAUCUAGAGAAUAAAUGAAGAGCCCUUGUCAUCACAUCAGCAGGAGCACAACAAUGUUCUCUACCUUUCCACAGCAAAGAAUCUGUGCUUUUAAGAACUUCUGACUAUAAUUUUUUUAUAAUUGUCUGUUGCCAUCUUGUUCUUCACUUUGUUGUAAUCACUGCUGAGCUUUCCCUGUACUUCCAUAUCAAAAUGUAUCAUAUUUUAUUGUAACAUGUCUUUAAAACUAGCACCUUCUUAAUGCUCAGAGGCUGAGAGCUCAUCUCCUUGAUUUAGGAAUAAAGUUUUCACUUCUUUUCUCCUCAAAAGA